AAGAAUUGUGAGACCCGUAUUGAAAAGAUAAGUGCCACAGUAAUUCAGUAUUAUUAAAAAAGUAAUUCGGUAUUAUUUGAUUUGUAAUAAAAGACAUGUUAAGGGAGACAUAUCUCGUGUAGUUUUAUUAUCUCGAGACUUUAGAUAAUACCCCUUUUUUAACAUGGGGACACAUAGGUACCGGGACACAUAGGUACCGGGACACAUAGGUAUGACCCCUUUGGCACCACAGAUCUAUGCCAUUUUCUCCCUGUCUGUCCCUGUGACAACAUUUAUAGUAAUAUUAUGGUUUUCAUUUACACAGGUGUUUGCGUGAAUUAUUGACAUAGUACUUGCUGUGAAAGGCCAACCUAUUGGCUACACUGACAUUCACAACAACACACAUGAGUCACCAGCUUCCUACAUACAUGUCCCAUUACCAACUCAAUCAUACACACCUGGCAUCUACUCUCACUCCACAUACAGUACACUUGAAGACACCAAAGAUACAUUUGCACAAUAUAAAUCACCAUAUGAACAAGACAAUUCAAAGGCUAUGCGAGACCUCCUGAAGCGUGUAGCUACUCUCGAGGCUGAGGUAGCUGAAUUAAAAAGAGCAAGAAAUGCUGAUGAAACGACAUCGACGUUAGAUAUAACAACUGUCAACGGCUGUCCCACGUUCAAUGGGAAGACUAAAGCAGAGCUUCUUACAGCCGUUGAAAACCACAAGAAGCCGUCACAUGCUGUGAGGAUGCUGUUCUCAAUGAUUUUCACACCGAGAGUACUUGUGAGAUGUUCUCUCGUUGGUGUGGACACCAAAAAAAAUGGAAAUUCUGUCGGUCUCCCGCAGGAAAAGAAAUCUGUCAUUGAAGGUGAGCUUAAAAUAAUAUGUCACUUUUGUCAUUGUUUUGUGAGUGGUGCACACUGUGAUCUAAUCUGACCAUUCUCGUAGAGGACUGUGUAAUCACAACAAAAAGUUAGGUUCAAAGGCAGUGUGAGUUUCGGCAAUCUAACCAGGCGCUGUGCCUGGUCUUAGUGAACUGGGCAGUGUGCCUGGUCAGAUUAGGAAUUGUGGGGAAGGCUGGAGAGGUUCUAUAGGUGCCAAUGAAUGUGAAACUAACCUAAAGACCAUUAUGAGUGUGACAACCUUUAGGGUUUUUUAGCGCCUUUAUAAAAGGUCCUUUAUUUUGGUGGUUACAAAGACAGUGUUCUCUGAGAUUACUGAGCUUAUCUUAUGGCACAGCGUAUGCCCUCUCUUCUUGUCAUUGUCUGUUGUCAAGGCAUGUUUUGUAACUAGUUGGAGCAUUCAACUUCAUA